rnacentral:lncRNA from 1 species
UCUUUACAAAAGCACAACAUCUUGCCCCGGUGUUCACAGCAUUUCCAAGCUCUCCACCGCCCAGCCACAGCCUCUCCAGCCUGCUCCUCCUCAAAUGUCCCUCUCGGCUCCCAGCACCUCUGGGCGGCGCACCGCGCUACUCCGCAGGCACUGAUGUCGGAGCACAGCGUUUGGCACUUGGUUAUCUGGCCCGCAGGAUGACGGUUUAAAAACUGAACAAACAUCCCAA